rnacentral:rRNA from 1 species
GAUGAACGCUGGCGGUAUGCCUAACACAUGCAAGUCGUACGAGAGUUUUUAACUCUAGUGGCGGACGGGUGAGUAACACGUGAGAAUUUGCCUUUAGGAGGGGGACAACAAUUGGAAACGAAUGCUAAUACCCCAUAUGCUUUCGAGUGAAAUGGAUUUUAUCCGCCUAGAGAGAAGCUCGCGGCUGAUUAGCUUGUUGGUAAGGUAAGAGCUUACCAAGGCGACGAUCAGUAUCUGGUUUGAGAGGACGAUCAGACACACUGGAACUGAGACACGGUCCAGACUCCUACGGGAGGCAGCAGUGGGGAAUUUUCCGCAAUGGGCGAAAGCCUGACGGAGCAAUACCGCGUGAGGGAAGAAUGCCUAUGGGUUGUAAACCUCUUUUUCAGGGAGGAAUAAAAUGACGUGUACCUGAAGAAUAAGCAUCGGCUAACUCCGUG